rnacentral:rRNA from 1 species
CCUACGGGAGGCAGCAGUGGGGAAUAUUGGACAAUGGGGGGAACCCUGAUCCAGCGACGCCGCGUGAGUGAAGAAGUAUUUCGGUAUGUAAAGCUCUAUCAGCAGGGAAGAAAGAAAUGACGGUACCUGACUAAUAAGCCCCGGCUAACUACGUGCCAGCAGCCGCGGUAAUACGUAGGGGGCGAUCGUUAGCCGGAUUUACUGGGUGUAAAGGGAGCGUAGACGGGGAGGGAAGUCUGAAGGUCAAGGCGGGGGCCCAACCCCCGGACUGCCUUGGAAACUGUAUGGCUGGAGUGCAGGAGAGGUAAGUGGAAUUCCUAGUGUAGCGGUGAAAUGCGUAGAUAUUAGGCGGAACACCAGUGGCGAAGGCGGCUUACUGGACUGUAACUGACGUUGAGGCUCGAAAGCGUGGGGAGCAAACAGGAUUAGAUACCCCAGUAGUC